UAAGUUAUUACUUUAUCAGACUUGAUUAUCUCCAGGACUAGGGGAGGGAAUUGUAUGUUUGUGCUGGGAGUGUUUUAUGUUUUCCUUGUGAAUGAUUGGAUGUACCAUGUCCCUCCCUGUGGGAUGUCCCCUUGCACGGGAACUUUCAUAAAAGCCAGUGUGUGAUAAUUAAAAGCCAGUUCUGUUGCACCCUUCUUCUAGACUCCGGCUGAUGUUUGG